UUGGGCGGGGAUUCAACAGGUAUGCCUCCCCUAUAGUACAUUUUUAACAUUUUCAUCUCUGGUAGGCUUGCAUAUGAAAAUGCCGAAACGUCACACCCAAGCAUAUCGACUUGAAAUUUAAAGCAACUACCUAAACUACAUACAAGACAUAAAGACAAGAUAAAUUGGGGCUAAUCGGAGCAUACGGCCAUAGGUAAACACACCUUGGACAAGUAUGUCCGUUACACUAGGCCUCCAAUCACCCAAGUUUACCAAAGGAGGGGUAAAAAUAAAAAUUCCACCUAGACAACAUGGUUGUUAGGAUGACCAGUGGUCCUAACAACACGUGGCAGCAGCAGAAAGGGAAUAUAUAUAUAGGCGUUUUUUGCUAGGGCUGAUUAUCUUGGUUAUUAUGUAUUUUGAAUGAACGUUGUUCAUUGGGGAGAGAGCAGCCCUCUUACUUGGUUGAAGCUUAUGAUUCCAUAUUGAAUAUAUAUACACACAUAUAUCAGCUUCUCUCCAUUGUACUGUGUGUUUGUGAGUGUGCUGGAAAUAUUCUUUGUAUUUGUGUGGGUGUGGGUUGAAUCUUUUGCAGGUGAAACAAGAACCUACCAGGGGGGACCACUUUGGUAGGGCCGGGAGUUAGAGGAAAGAGAUAAAAGAAAGGAAGCUACAGAGGGAGGGGGUAUGGAACUUUGAGGAAGGAAAUCUACAUUACUCCUUGAGAGAGGGAAAGCAGAGGGUCCAAGUUCAUCUUUGAAUUGUUCUUGAGUCUUUUAUUUGGUUGCUAUUAGUUUGAGUAAUUUUUGCUUUGAAUCUGUAAUCGCGAUCAAUACUCUAUUGAUCCACGAAGAGUCUCAAUAAUUCGUGUAAGUUUUCAUAUUAUAUCAACAUAUACGAACACUGCUGUGGUGUUCUAUCAUAAUUCUGAGAUACUGAGCUUCGUUUAAGAUCCUUCACUGUGGCCAAACCGAGUUUGUGAGUUGAACCUUUCAUGUAUUUAUGAGAAAUGUUUCUCUAUCUAUUUGAAGUCUGUUUGAUGGAGCAUUUGGUUGGGAAGAGAUGACUAACUUUUAGUGGAAAGGCGAAGGACUGGUGAAGCCCUGAAGGGGUGUUGAAGUUGGCUAAAGUUUAUGUGUUGAAUUGAAUUUCUUUAAGAGAGUGGGUUUUUUUUUUUUUUUUUUGUAGCUUGAUUUUUAAAUUUGAAUUAUGUUUAUUAUACUAUAAUUAUUUAUAAACCCUAAACCCUAAUAGCAUUUUAGUAUCACGAAGUUGGAUUAUUUUGUUGCAGAUGGAAUUUGUGUCUAGAGCAUUGAGCAUCCUGGUUGCGUUUGGGAUGCCAAGUUUUUGGAAAAUGGAGAUAUUGUCACAGCUUGUUUAGAUGGAGUAGUACGUGUCUGGACGGCAGAACAGGAAAGAAUUGCUGAUCCCCAAGAAUUGGAGUUAUUUGCUUCAAGACUGUCUCAGUAUAAGUUGAAGAGGUGCCCCACAACAGCUGCCACACACACACACACACACUCACAAAGAGGAAGUUCCAAAAUCCUUUGGAAGAGGGUUGGAGGAUUGAAAUUGGAAGAAUUACCUGGGAUGGAUGCUUUACAAAUUCCAGGUCUGGUUACACUAUUCCAUUUUAAUAAGAAGCCAAGAUGCUAUCCGCUUCUAUACCUUUUUCCUUUUACCCCUUAAUUUCAUGAAUCUUUGUUGCAAAGUGGAUGGGUGGCAAGGUUUUCUUUUUCUUGAUAUUUGUGAGAUUCUAGGCCAGCUCACACACCCUCGACUAAUCUCACGGGAUAAUCCGCUUGACCCUACAACAUUUGGGUGUUAAGGAAACUCAUAGGAAAUUAAUUUACAGCUGCCACACACACUCACUCACAAAGAGGAAGUUCCAAAAUCCUUUUGUUCA